AUUGAACGCUGGCGGCGUGCUUAACACAUGCAAGUCGAACGAUGAACCAGGGCUUGCCCUGGGGAUUAGUGGCGAACGGGUGAGUAACACGUGGGCAACCUGCCCCUGACACUGGGAUAACCCCGGGAAACCGGGGCUAAUACCGGAUACGAACCUUGCGGGCAUCGUCGAGGUUGGAAAGUUUUUCGGUCAGGGAUGGGCCCGCGGCCUAUCUGCUUGUUGGUGGGGUAACGGCCCACCAAGGCGACGACGGGUAGCCGGCCUGAGAGGGCGACCGGCCACACUGGGGCUGAGACACGGCCCAGACUCCUACGGGAGGCAGCAGUGGGGAAUAUUGCGCAAUGGGCGAAAGCCUGACGCAGCGACGCCGCGUGAGGGACGACGGCCUUCGGGUUGUAAACCUCUUUCAGCAGGGACGAAGCGAAAGUGACGGUACCUGCAGAAGAAGCACCGGCCAACUACGUGCCAGCCGCCGCAGUAACAC
rnacentral:rRNA from 1 species